GAGAGCUUGGUCACGGUGGAAACCAUGGAAGGUCCCCCCCCCAGGGCAAACCCCUAAAGCGCCUCCUCCUCGCGCUCAACUGCGCCACGCGAGGGAGAGAGUUUUCGUUCUUUACAGUGAAGGGAGAAGACACAGACGUCUUCAAUGAGAGAGAGAGAGAGAGAGAGAGAGAGAGGAGCGAAUGAUUCAAUGGAUAGAGAGAAGAGGACCCAGAACCGCCGGCCUCACGGUGAAGUGGAGGGGCCGGCCUAUGCAUUAUUUUUCUCCUUCCUCUGGAUCGCCUCUGUAUCUUUCACGUUAACAUCCCUCCUCGGUCGCGAGAGCAAAUCGAAUCGGAGAUUCCGUAUAGGGAUGGAAGGAGUAGUAUUGGAGGAGGAAGAGCAGCAAGCAGCCAGCAGCAGCAGACUCCAGCACUCCGACGACCAAAAACGGCAUUCGUACAGAUUCCGCACGUGAAAGAUAAGAGAACAGGAGCUUCUGCCUUAAACUGUGGCUUCAACCGCACCAUUUGUUAGCUGCCUGUUCGUUUUUUGUUUUAUGGUUUGAGAACCAAAUUAGAAAGGCCAACGGCAUCGCUUGGAACAUCUGCACUACAACUCCGGUCUUUCAUGGACUUUCCGAGGAACAAUAAUUAGAUGAAGCACUGUCUUUGGCUGAUAACGUGACUUUUGUUGUUGUGAAUACAACAAACUAUACGAUAUUCCCUCGGGUGGUUGGUGCAGGUUCCGGCGGUCCAACCAUGGAUUUCGCGGCAGUACCCCCGAAGGGCAGCGUCCGCCUUUCCUUCAAACGGGACAGCCAUUUCUGUCUAUUUUUUGCCACUGACUGUUCCCAGGACGAGUCGGGUCGUCUGAUUGAGUGUAGCAGCGGCAAUUGCCCUAAUGAAGGCUGCACUUCGGUGGAUAAUCCCGUGGCCACGAUGAUUUAUUAUGACAACGGCACUGUAACCGCCAGUGGGCCAUUUGGGUAUAAUUUUGCAGUUAGAGCAGAAUUCCUGAGUGCUGAUGGUAAGUGCCCGCCUGUUAGCUGUGAUAUACCCCUGAGCAAAUGUCCGAAGGGACUGAGGAUGUUGGAAGAGUCGUCGGGAUCCCUCGUGGCAUGUAAGGCACCGGACAAGGUACCCUAUUGCCAAGGCGGCGCUGCUACGUCUUGCUUCGACGGUGCGAUUUUGACGAUCACAGUCAGUUAAGCACCAGUGGAAUGAUUGAGAAUCGCGAAAGGGCAACUACUGAGGAGCGUUUCCAGUUUUAGUGCACGAGAGGCGUGUAGCUGCGCAUCUAGCUAUUAUUACUCGUCCUUCAGGAGGCACCACUUGCUUCCACGGUGCGAUUUUGGUGAUCACAGUCAGUUCACCACCGGAGGAAUGAGUGAGGAUCGCAAAGGGGAAUUUGCUCACAAGCAAAACAUUGUCAUGAUUAUGUGUCUUGUCAGUAUUUUGAACUGUUUGUAUCUUCUUCCAUUUCUUAGGCUUUGUAUCAUGUUUUUUCUUUUGAGCUAUGGACCACACGCUGAUACAAAGGACUUAAACUUGUUGUUCACUUUUUUCUGUCUGUUUCUUGUUGUGAUGUUAUUACGAUGACUUGAAAUUGAAUUCUUUGUUGUCAAUGGUCAUAACUCUUCAUACUUGAUAUUCCUAAGUCUUGCCUUAGGAAUUUGCUUUGCUUGUUUGGAGUUGCUUUAUUUUAAGACCUUAUCGAUAAAGUUCUCCUUGGAAUCAAUGGAAACGCGAUUGAAAUAUCAGUAAGUUCUCUACUCUUUUCAUCUAUUUCUUUUGAGUGUUGAAAGCCAGAAAAUCAUCAAUUAAAUUAUAUGCAGAAUAGCUUAUGUAUAUCAGCAUAUCUUAUUCUGUUUCACACAGUCCAGGUGCUUGAUGUGCUACCUUUUAGUUGCCUUAUUCUGUCUGUCCUAUUCGGCAGAAGCCUUCACAUUCACACAGGAAGGUUGGUUCCAUUUUUUAGGCCAAAUAGUACAAUGCUUGAGAAGCCUUCUGAUAAUGUUGACUUGAGUAUUAGUUGAUCCAUUUUGCACUCCUUUUGUAAUAGCUGCUUGGUAUGAAGUUUGAACCUUUUGAGGGAAACUGGUCUCUGUUUCAUGUAAAAAUUCAGAAUAUUGUGAUGUAGGUUCAUUCUCGUGUUGUUUGCAGUUAUUUGUUGAAAAAAUCUUGGCUCUUUCCCUUUGGAAAUGCUUUUCUGAUUAGGAAGGAAGUUGCUCAUAUGGUUCGAAUGCACAUUUUCUCUUUGGAAACUAAGGUAAUAUUAUCUGGACGCGGAUACUUCAUUUCAGUGCUGAUCUAUAAGAUUUUCUAUGGUCACGGUGCAAGCAUGUUCAUACAGUGGUCAAACAUGGUGUCAAUUUUCCUGACGUGGGUUUCCCGCGCGGUGUGUGCUUGUGAUUUGCGUAUGCAUUUCUGUUGAAAUUAUGCAAGCCCCAUAACCUUCCUUUCCCUUUGUUCAGAAUCAAUAUCUAAUUCAAAGAGUGGACAGAGCAAACCUGCCUUUUUGAAAUGGCUGCGGCGGGCCUCUGCGAAGUCGAAUGUUUUCAAGUAAACAUUUUGAUGAUAAUCAUGAUAGCAUGAAUAAUGAAAUGUGGGGAUCCUACUGAAUUGGUU